UUCAUACAGCAAAUAUCUUCCACAGGGAUUUAAAGCCGAAAAAUAUCCUUGCUAAUGCUGACUGUAAGUUGAAGAUAUGUGAUUUUGGGCUUGCUCGUGUAUCAUUCAAUGAUGUGCCAUCAGCUAUUUUCUGGACCGAUUAUGUUGCAACUCGAUGGUAUCGUGCUCCUGAGCUAUGUGGAUCCUUCUUUUCUAAGUAUACUCCUGCUAUUGAUAUAUGGAGCAUCGGAUGCAUAUUUGCAGAGUUGCUUUCUGGAAAACCAUUAUUUCCUGGAAAGAAUGUGGUGCAUCAAUUGGACCUAAUCACAGAUUUGCUUGGGACACCUCCUCCAGAAACAGUUGCAAAGAUAAGAAAUGAAAAAGCUAGAAGAUACCUCAGUAGCAUGCGGAAGAAACAACCGGUUGGGUUUGCAAAAAAGUUUCCAAAUGCAGAUCCUUUGGCAUUACGCCUACUUGAACGACUGCUUGCAUUUGACCCUAAAGAUCGGCCAUCUGCAGAAGAGGGAUUAGAGGAUCCUUAUUUCCAUGGUUUAUCAAAUGCUGAUCGUGAACCAUGUAGACCACCAAUAUCGAAGCUUGAGUUUGAAUUUGAGAAGAGGAAACUGGCAAAAGAUGAUGUUAGAGAACUCAUAUAUCGCGAGAUUUUAGAAUAUCAUCCGCAGAUGCUUCAGGAGUAUCUUUCUGGUGCAGAUCAGACUAGUGGCUUUAUGUACCCAAGUGGUGUUG
rnacentral:misc_RNA from 1 species